rnacentral:rRNA from 1 species
AGUGAACGCUGGCGGUAGGCCUAACACAUGCAAGUCGAACGGCAGCACAGUAAGAGCUUGCUCUUACGGGUGGCGAGUGGCGGACGGGUGAGGAAUACAUCGGAAUCUACUUUUUCGUGGGUGAUAACGUAGGGAAACUUACGCUAAUACCGCAUACGACCUACGGGUGAAAGCAGGGGAUCUUCGGACCUUGCGCGAUUGAUUGAGCCGAUGUCGGAUUAGCUAGUUGGCGGGGUAAAGGCCCACCAAGGCGACGAUCCGUAGCUGGUCUGAGAGGAUGAUCAGCCACACUGGAACUGAGACACGGUCCAGACUCCUACGGGAGGCAGCAGUAGGGAAUAUUGGGCAAUGGGCGAAAGCCUGAUCCAGCCAUACCGCGUGGGUGAAGAAGGCCUUCGGGUUGUAAAGCCCUUUUGUUGGGAAAGAAAAGCAGCAGGUUAAUACCCCGCUGUUCUGACGGUACCCAAAGAAUAAGCACCGGCUAACUUCGUG